CUCUCAACUCUCUCUCUCUCAAACUGACUUUCUCUCUCUCCAGUAUGUAUCUUCAACGCAAGAAGAUGAUGAUGAAUAAAAGAUCCCUCUUUAAAACUUUUGAUAAAACCCUUUUCAUCAUCAUUCUCUCUCAUUUUGCACCGCCACCAACCAACAGGUAAAGAUUACUCUUCUUCAAUAAUCAAUCCUCACUUUCCUUUUUCUCAGGUGACUUAUCAAGGUGACGUUCCGAUUGAAGAGAUUCAAUCCAAGGCGAAAUUUAAUCGAAGGCGGUUUCUGGUCGCGUGUGGAACCGCAGAGAAGAGGAAACGGUGAAUUGAUCAGAAACAGAGUCCACGAGCAUCUUUGCAUCUUACGAUUCAAUCGAUAUACGAUGCUAAACUCUCUGAUUAAUCGGCGGUCCGACGAAAGAAAACGAGUGUUGUUCAAUCUGCCAUGGUAGCUUCAACAUCCCUUAUCAAGCCAAUUGUUCUCACUGGUAUUGCGGUACGUCGUCGUAUUCCAAAGAAAACAACUGUAGUUUCUAACUUAAAUCUACCAUGGUUUUAAGUUAAUUUACAGGUCUUGAACGAGUGCUCAGAAGCAGAUAGAAGAGCUUCUUGCAAAGUUGUAUCGACCAGAUGUUCAUUGAAACGUUUGGAGGAUAAAUCAGUUCAUAGCUUGAAUGGAUUUUUUUGUAGAUAGAUUGGCGAGUUUAAUCAGUUAUCUUUAUAUUGAAUUCUUUUUUCCACCUUCUGCUUUGUCUGUGUUCCUUAAAUUGAUAUCUCAUCCGAACUCCAGUUCUUAAAUUGGGUUUUUACUGUUGUAGAUGAAAGAGCAUUGAUGUUUUCAUUUGGAUUUCAAUUACCGGAAGAUAAAUUAAGGUAUUGAAGCUUCAUGGUUAAUUAUUUUAUAAUUACUUUAUUAUAGAUCUGAAUUUGGUAAUAGAACAAAUGCGAUGGGCUUCAUGUCUAAAUGGGAUGGGUUUGGUUUAAAAUGUACACGGAGUAAUAUUAUCCUGUAAUUCUGCAAGAUAUUAUUGGAAUUGUAGGUUUUGUGUAGAUUAUCCAGUCUAAUCGUGAUUGGAAUCGGAUUCGAAUCGGAGUAAUAUUAUCCUGUAACUUUGCGUGUAAUCGUGAUUCGAAUCGGAUGAGUUUCGGUUCGUUUCAGUGUGUUUCGGUGACAUUUUGAAGGUUAUCGGAGAAUUUCAGUUGAAUACAAAAGAAAAGAUUCAAUUGAAGAAACUAUUGUUGGCUGAAAAGAUCUGAUUUUGUUAUCAAUAAUACAUCAAAAAAUGGAAUAAAUGUGCAGUAUGAUUCAGAUUAUAAUAACAUAAACAACAUAAUCUGAGUUCGAAAGUUCUUAGAACAAUAUAUUGAAUUGGUUGUGUUAUCGGUCGAAAUCGGUAACUUUUGGCUAAAGUUUUUGGCACGUUUCGGGCUGACUUAAAUCAUUUCCGGUAAAUUUCGAUCAAAAUGCUUCGGACAGUAUACAUUGUCAAUGAACUGAUUCGAGUAUGAUGUUGUGAUUAGUGUUGUGAUAAUCUGAGUUUAUUUUUUUAAAAAGAAAACGAGAGUAGCUGUUAUAAGAAAGUUGCAGGUUUGAUUAUUUCGAAGAAAGAAUUCAAAAGUAGGUUGUUGUUGUUUCAAUUGCAUGGUUCGCUUGUAUAGGUGUGUUGGCUGGGUAUGCAAAGUUGAAGAUGUACAAGUAAUAGCAGAUGGUUUUAGUGGCUUUUUGCGAAAUUAAAAGUUUUAGAAAGGAGAUAUUAGGGUUUUGCUUUGAGGUGUGAAACCACUGUUUUUUCAUAAAAAGUGUUUUGAAACCACUGUUGGGUCAACAGAUGGAUGAAAACAGAUGUUUGAUACCACUGUUGGGCUAAAAAAUGUUUUGUGGAGAAAACAGUGGUUGAACCCACUGUUUGGUUAAAACGGUGGCUUGAAACCAGUGUUUGGUUACAACAGUGGUUUAUGGAGAAAAAGAUGUUUCAAACUAGUGUUGGAUUAAAACAGUGGUUUGAAACCAUACUAUUUGUUCAACAGUGGGUUAAAACCACUUGAUGAAGCAGCAUAGGAUAUGGAUGACGUUGCUUGAUGCCAAAAUCACUUGAAUGUGUUGAAAAAAUGGUACAGGGGAUAUACGAGCAGCUACCGCUAAGGAUAUUGAUAUUGAUGCGUUUGCUAUAUGGAAUGCUUGGGGACUGGCUUUAAUUCGGAUGGAACACUAUGCUCAAGCUCGUGUCAAGUUCAACAGGUGGAACGAACAAGAUGUUAAUAGCCUAUCAUGAAACUGGUCAUGCAAUCUGCGCGUAAGUAUUCACUCUACUCAUCAUUUUAACAUAAUGUGAUGCAGUUUGGUCUAAUUUUUAGGAUCAUGUGCUGGUUUUAGGACUGUGACUCAAGGGCAUGAUCCAUUAUACAAAUGCACUAAUCGAUUCACAUACCUCUUUAGUUUUACAAAAGUCCACAAACUGUCAUAUAGGCAAUUUGGGCAAGCAAAUACUGCAUAUGAGCUUUUUGAACAACUUUUUUGCAUUUCUUGGAUAAACCAUGUUGAUAUCUCUAAGGCUUUAUUCUUUUAUGGGCAAACUGUUGUUUACUAUGCAAUCUACAUUUGUGAAAUCAAGUAACGUCUGUGACAACCAGGUCGUUUGGCUAAAGGUUAGUUAUGCUUUCCCUUCCCUUACUUAAAGUGACUUAUUUUGAAAAGAUACUAAGACUGAAGAUGCUUUGGUAAUUUGCCAAUCAUUUUGCAGCGAAGUGAUGAUUCUGAACCGUUUUCUAAAUCCAAGUUAAAUAUUAUUAUAAUAGAAUACCAAAUAUCAUAUCUAGCGUGCAUUAGAGGUGACACACAUGAUUUAAGUAAAAAAUGACACACAUGAAAUUCUUAAUGUUUCGACUUUUAAGAUAUUUGAUAUAAUAUAUUCUAUUGUAUAUACUGUGAUGCUAUAGUGUUCUUAUAUGUAACCGGAACAUGUAAAUGUCGCAGUGCCCUUAUGGAUUGAGUCGGGUGUGAAAAGUGUCGUCUAUGGGGAAAGCUUCAGGUUCUUAGCGUCGAAACUGCACUAAAAAUCCUGUUCUCUGUUGAUGGUCAAGAAGGCCGAGAUCAGCUUGUGAGUAUCACAUACUUAUUGAUUUAUAUAAUUAAAGUCUUAAUCUUCGUCCUGCCUGAUAUCUAUAUUUGUUUUUGUUUUACUGGAUCACAGCUGCUAAUCUUCGUCCUGCCUGAUAUCUAUAUUUGUUUUUGUUUUACUGGAUCACAGCUGUAACACCUCGUAAAAUCAUACCCAAUAAAAUAAAGACACAUGUCAUGUAAUACAAACGUGUUAUGAAAACGGAUCCAGAUAAAGAUGUACGGUAGGAUUUAAAAGCGUCGACAUGUUAAUUUAUACCACUGAGCGACCCAUUAAUAAAUCCCUAACCAUAAUAUAUUUAAUCAACAUCUAAAUUAUGCAAAUAAAUCUGGUUAUCCUAAAAUAACAAAUUGAUUAUAACUCAAGACUUGGAUCCAAUGUGAGUUCUCGAAAAUGUUGGCACUUGAGGCAUUCAACACAAAGAACCAAAAUGUGUAAGAGCAUGCAAAGCAUGCAAGGUCUGAGCACUUGGUCCCUCUACUAAAAAGGAAAGCACAAGAUUUGGACUUGUAAGGAAUGCAUGGUCAAAGUUUGGAAGUUUACAAAUUUUUGGAUUCUGGUCAUCGGAUACGGACCGCAAAGCCAAGGGCUUACGGUCCGUAAAGAUGGAACUGGGCGAUAUAAGCCAGGGUCAGUUACGGAUCGCAUCCGUUGAGCAUACGGACCACAAGAGGUGCUUACGGUCCGCAAGAGCUUUGGCUUACGGUCCGUAAGCCUGUCGCCGGCAGCAGAAUUAGGACAGCUACCUGUUCAGCAGGUUGCACCGCCUUAAAUGGGUGGUUUUCGAAUACAGGGAUCUUGCAACUGGUUUUGGCAUCAUAGAGGGCACUUGGACUCAUCUGGCAACAUUCAUAGACUUAGGUGGGACAAUCUUGUGACAUUUUGUUCACUAUAUAAAGGAACCAAGUUGCAACAUUCUCACUUGCUCACUUGGAAAAUUAUUCAAGACUUCUCUGGAGCUUCUCUGAUCAGCAACAAGUCUUCUUAAGAUCCCUAAUCAUUCUUAGGACCUUUAUCUGAAGUGAUUCGAGCAUGUCUACAGGUUUGGCGUUUAUCGCCAUGCUUAACCUUUUUGGGUUAUUUUGGAGUUUGAAGAAAAUGGUUAUGGAUUCCGGGACAAGGGCGUUGGAUCAUUUGGCAUUACAGAUUGGAGUGUGUAUCUUUGUCGUGUGGAUUAACUUGCCGGUUUAUGAAGGACUCUUUGUUCGGAAAGACGACGGACAAAUGCCGACUUCUGUCACUUGCAACUCGGUUAUCUUGGCUUUGAUAGCUUGUCUUAGUAUUGUACUCUUUAACAAUUGAUGGUCUAUGAUGGAACUGUGGUUAUUAUGCAUGUCAUUUAUUAA